UUACGGCCACAUCAUGUUCAAACAACAGUCCCCGUAAGAUCACCGAAUUUAAGCAACGUCGAGCCUGUUCAGUACCUAGAUGAGUGACCGCUUAGAAAUACCAGGUGCUGUAAG